AACCUAGAUCUGCUAGGGUUUUUUUGAAGAGUUGCAGUUAAACAUUAUUGUUUUGAAAUGAAUUAAAUUUGAAUGCUUUUUUUUUCUGAAAAGUUGCAGUGAAACAUUAUUGCUUCAAAAGAGAAAGUAGAGGUGGUUUUCUUGGACUAGCAAGCUGAAAAACCUCCACCAGAAAAUUACGAGAAGAGCUUGAUGGAUCUCGAAACCCUGGCCUCCAGUUCUUCGGCCAACAGUUCAGUCUACCGUGGCGUUACUAAGCAUAGAGUGACAGGGAGAUAUCAAGCCCAACUCUGGGAUAAAACCAAAGAGACUAGCAACCGCAAGGGUAAACCAG